GCACUGGAAUGUAGCAGCAGUGAAGAUGGUUGCCGUGGAAAUUUAAAUCCUAAUCAGUGUAAUGUAGAAGAUGAAGAUGAUAGUGGUCACAGUGAGGUAGAAUUUGAUCAAGAAGACCUCCAAGGAAAUUGUCGACAUCUCAACCGUGAUGAAGAAUUUCAGAGAAAAGUGAUGGAAAUGCGUUAGGAUAUCCGCUCAUUGAAGAAACGGGAUGCAGAAAAGUACGAAGCAACUCAAA